rnacentral:sRNA from 1 species
AGACAGACAAAGAAAGGGGUGCGGCAGCGCGGCCAGGGGAGGAGGGUGAUCCGGCCCGGGGAAGGUCGCUGGGCAGGGCGAGUUGGGAAAGCGACAGCCCCUGCCGCCCCCGCAGCCCCCGGAGCCCCUUCUCUUUCUUUCUCCUCCUUUCUCCCACGUCCCAUCUGCCCCUCGCUGGAGGCCAGGCCGUGCAGCAUCGAGGACAGGAGGAACUGGAGCCUCAUUGGCCGGCCCGGGGCGCCGGCCUCGGGCUUAAAUAGGAGCUCCGGGCUCUGGCUGGGACCCGACCGCUGCCCGCUGCGCUCCCGCUGCUCCUGCCGGGUGAUGGAAAACCCCAGCCCGGCCGCCGCCCUGGGCAAGGCCCUCUGCGCUCUCCUCCUGGCCACUCUCGGCGCCGCCGGGCAGCCUCGUGAGGGAGAGUCCGUCUGUUCCGCCAGAGCCCCGGCCAAAUACAGCGUCACCUUCACGGGCAAGUGGAGCCAGACGGCCUUCCCCAAGCAGUACCCCCUGUUCCGCCCCCCCGCGCAGUGGUCUUCGCUGCUGGGUAAGUGCAGCCCCCUCCUCGCCUCCUGCUCUACCAGGAGGGCUGCGGCGCCGGAGCCCCCCCCCCACAGCUGCACGGCGGCGCUUCCCAGUCGGGCGCGCUGACGUCCCGGAGACUCUAAUACAAGAAUGUUUGCCGAGCGCCCGCGGUGUGCGGUUCCGGGGAUGCGGUGGGGGCAGGGGACGGUCUCGGGGAGAGCUGCAGGUGGGUCGGGGCAGGGGCAGCCACAGGGUGUCACGGUCCGACGUGACGGGGGGGCCAUGGUUCCCUGGGGGCAGCGGGGAGGGAUUUCCUGGGGCGCCCCCUGGAAUCCAAGACCGACGGCAGUC